rnacentral:rRNA from 1 species
UGGGGAAUAUUGCACAAUGGGCGCAAGCCUGAUGCAGCCAUGCCGCGUGUAUGAAGAAGGCCUUCGGGUUGUAAAGUACUUUCAGUCGGGAGGAAGGUGGUAAGGUUAAUAACCUUGGCAAUUGACGUUACCGACAGAAGAAGCACCGGCUAACUCCGUGCCAGCAGCCGCGGUAAUACGGAGGGUGCAAGCGUUAAUCGGAAUUACUGGGCGUAAAGCGCACGCAGGCGGUUGAUUGAGUCAGAUGUGAAAUCCCCGGGCUUAACCCGGGAAUUGCAUCUGAUACUGGUCAGCUAGAGUCUUGUAGAGGGGGGUAGAAUUCCAUGUGUAGCGGUGAAAUGCGUAGAGAUGUGGAGGAAUACCGGUGGCGAAGGCGGCCCCCUGGACAAAGACUGACGCUCUGGUGCGAAAGCGUGGGGAGCAAACAGG